rnacentral:rRNA from 1 species
GCUUGCUGGGGGAUUAGUGGCGAACGGGUGAGUAACACGUGAGUAACCUGCCCUUGACUCUGGGAUAAGCCUGGGAAACUGGGUCUAAUACCGGAUACGACCAUCUGGCGCAUGUCAUGGUGGUGGAAAGCUUUUGUGGUUUUGGAUGGACUCGCGGCCUAUCAGCUUGUUGGUGGGGUAAUGGCCUACCAAGGCGACGACGGGUAGCCGGCCUGAGAGGGUGACCGGCCACACUGGGACUGAGACACGGCCCAGACUCCUACGGGAGGCAGCAGUGGGGAAUAUUGCACAAUGGGCGCAAGCCUGAUGCAGCGACGCCGCGUGAGGGAUGACGGCCUUCGGGUUGUAAACCUCUUUCAGUAGGGAAGAAGCGAMAGUGACGGUACCUGCAGAAGAAGCGCCGGCUAACUACGUGCCAGCAGCCGCGGUAAUACGUAGGGCGCAAGCGUUAUCCGGAAUUAUUGGGCGUAAAGAGCUCGUAGGCGGUUUGUCGCGUCUGCUGUGAAAGACCGGGGCUCAACUCCGGUUCUGCAGUGGGUACGGGCAGACUAGAGUGCAGUAGGGGAGACUGGAAUUCCUGGUGUAGCGGUGAAAUGCGCAGAUAUCAGGAGGAACACCGAUGGCGAAGGCAGGUCUCUGGGCUGUAACUGACGCUGAGGAGCGAAAGCAUGGGGAGCGAACAGGAUUAGAUACCCUGGUAGUCCAUGCCGUAAACGUUGGGCACUAGGUGUGGGGGACAUUCCACGUUUUCCGCGCCGUAGCUAACGCAUUAAGUGCCCCGCCUGGGGAGUACGGCCGCAGGCUAAACUC